AUGCAUGGGUGAGUGUUUAUUUUUGUGAAGAUGGCAGCUGAGGAGAAUAUAGUCAAUCACAAAAGUUGUCUUUGUUGUUUGAUAAAACAAUUGAAUAUAUUUUGUCUGAUAAUGCUGUCUGCUUGAAGCAGAGCAGAGGUGAAUGCUCUGUGAUCUCAGUGUCAGACAGCAGCUGAGUCUGCAGAGAUGCAGAUUAUGAAGACAGUGAUUGUAUCUGUUUCUUUCAGAGUGAAAAUGUUAGAGAAAGAGAAGAAUGUGGAGAAGAAUAUGAGAAUUUUGAAAAUGAUAAGCUUCAGAGACUCUGUGAUGAAGAGAUCAAUUGAAGAGAGAUUGAUGAGAGAGAAAUUGACUGAAGAGUCAAUGAAGA
rnacentral:sRNA from 1 species